UACGUAGGGUGCAAGCGUUGUCCGGAAUUAUUGGGCGUAAAGAGCUCGUAGGCGGUUUGUCGCGUCGUCUGUGAAAUUCUGCAACUCAAUUGUAGGCGUGCAGGCGAUACGGGCAGACUUGAGUACUACAGGGGAGACUGGAAUUCCUGGUGUAGCGGUGAAAUGCGCAGAUAUCAGGAGGAACACCGGUGGCGAAGGCGGGUCUCUGGGACGGUACUGACGCUGAGACGCGAAAGCGUGGGGAGCGAACAGG
rnacentral:rRNA from 1 species